rnacentral:rRNA from 1 species
UACGUAGGGUGCAAGCGUUAAUCGGAAUUACUGGGCGUAAAGCGUGCGCAGGCGGUUAUGCAAGUCCGAUGUGAAAUCCCCGGGCUUAACCUGGGAAUUGCAUUAGUGACUGCAUGGCUAGAGUGUGUCAGAGGGGGGUAGAAUUCCACGUGUAGCAGUGAAAUGCGUAGAGAUGUGGAGGAAUACCGAUGGCGAAGGCAGCCCCCUGGGAUAACACUGACGCUCAUGCACGAAAGCGUGGGGAGCAAACAGG